rnacentral:rRNA from 1 species
AUUGAACGUGCUUGCACGGACUUGACGUUGGUUUACCAGCGAGUGGCGGACGGGUGAGUAACACGUAGGUAACCUGCCCCAAAGCGGGGGAUAACAUUUGGAAACAGAUGCUAAUACCGCAUAACAAUUUGAAUCGCAUGAUUCAAAUUUAAAAGAUGGCUUCGGCUAUCACUUUGGGAUGGACCUGCGGCGCAUUAGCUUGUUGGUAGGGUAACGGCCUACCAAGGCUGUGAUGCGUAGCCGAGUUGAGAGACUGAUCGGCCACAAUGGAACUGAGACACGGUCCAUACUCCUACGGGAGGCAGCAGUAGGGAAUCUUCCACAAUGGGCGCAAGCCUGAUGGAGCAACACCGCGUGAGUGAAGAAGGGUUUCGGCUCGUAAAGCUCUGUUGUUAGAGAAGAACGUGCGUGAGAGCAACUGUUCACGCAGUGACGGUAUCUAACCAGAAAGUCACGGCUAACUACGUGCCAGCAGCCGCGGUAAUACGUAGGUGGCAAGCGUUAUCCGGAUUUAUUGGGCGUAAAGCGAGCGCAGGCGGUUUGAUAAGUCUGAUGUGAAAGCCUUUGGCUUAACCAAAGAAGUGCAUCGGAAACUGUCAGACUUGAGUGCAGAAGAGGACAGUGGAACUCCAUGUGUAGCGGUGGAAUGCGUAGAUAUAUGGAAGAACACCAGUGGCGAAGGCGGCUGUCUGGUC